AUCUAAGAUUUAACUAUCAACUUUGAUAUGGUCAUCCACAUUGUAUUUCAAUUUUUAAAAUUCAUCACAUGAAUUACCCCAAUCGAGAUUUUAUAGAAUUGAAACACACUGAUAUGUUAACUCCUACUUAUUCAGAGAGGUCAAUUCCAUCUUGACUCAUACACCAACUUCUCAAGUACUUGAUUGUGUCUAAAAAUUUUUUAUCAUUGAAUUAAAAAUUUAAGUAGUCCGAUACUAAAGUACAGUGAGUUGCUUGCAAGUCACCAUAUUGAUUUC
rnacentral:lncRNA from 1 species